GUAAGUACUCGGGUGAAUUCUGUUGAGAGAGAGCACAGUGGGGUAAUAAGGUUUCACAUGCCCUUGUGGCUCAAGAUAGAUGUAUAGAUAUUCUCCCUUUCCUAGUUCUUAAAAGAAAAAUGUGCAUAGCUACCUUUUCACUAAAGGCCUGUAGAAUAGAAAAGAUAAUUUCAAGCUGUCAAGCAUCAAUCAUCCAGAAAGUUCUUUAGAAUAAAACUACCAGUGACUCUAGACAUUGUUUGCAACAGGGACAAGGUCACUGGGAAAUUACUGCGCUGGGAGAUUUUAAACUUUUUGAGAAAGAGGAAAAGCAAGAUUAAAUUUAAGAGGCCAUUUAAAGAAGCACAGCAUUUGUCUACUGAACACUAAAGUAUCACUCAGGAAGAUAUUAAAAUUUUUCACUCUUGGAACAUUCCUUGGAUCUCUGCUGCUGUGCUGUGAGAAAAACAAGCUACAAGUAUAGGACACAUGUUGAAGCUCCAAUUGAUAGCUGCAAUUGAGCUCCUUGCCAAUGACCAACAUCCUACGUCAACCAUGUGAAGUGGUCCUCUUCACUGUCCCAGCAUAACUGAGCACACAGGUGAUCAAGGCAGAGCCAAUUCCACAGGAAGUAAGAGAGCAUUGGUGUUAGCCCAUUCAACACCAAGACUAGUGAGAAAUUGCUGUUGUUUUAAGCCACUAAAUCUUGGAGGGGUUUGUUAAGAAAGUAACUGAAAAAGUGUCUUCCGUGAAUAAGGGUCAAGGAACCAUAGGAAUAGAUGAGUGUAGGGGGCCCUGCCCCCCCGCUGGAACUCUUGAGUGCCUUCUACGGACAUGCCCGGGCUUGCUGCAAAUCUACCCGGCAACAAGGAAGUAGCCCCAGUACACUCCUCUUGCUCCUCCCCUCUCGCCCUACGGUAUAUAUGUUGUAACAGCUUCCGC
rnacentral:lncRNA from 1 species